ACGGCAAGGUGCACACAGCACGAGACUUGUUUCUGUCACGAGGAUUUUCAGCGGAAUACGCUCCACAGUUAAGUCAACUGCUGAGGUAAAGUCAUUGCGGGUGUCAGUUGUCACUCAGUUGUCCCAUACGAGGCGGGUGUGAUGAUUUCAGCAUCUUGCGUGGACCGACUUUCCAUUGAAGGAAAACGUCUCCUUGAGUCUCAGGAGCAGCGAGAGGGGUGCUAGACAGGACGGACACGGGACAAGA